UGGUCAACCAUUGCACUUUUUGGCCACUACAGAUGAACUGCUGGUCAACUACUGGGCAACCAUUGCUCUUUUUGGCCACCAGGGCACACUGCUACCUCAUGAGCAACCAUUGGUCAACUACAGAUGAACUGUUGGUUGACCAUUGGUCAACCAUGGAUCUUUUUGGCCACUACAGAUGAGCUGCUGGUCAACUACUGGUCAACCAUGGGUCUUUUUGGCCACCAGGGCACACUGCUGCCUCAUGGGUAACCACUGCUCAACCUUUGCUCAACCACUGCUUAACUGUUGGCCAUCCAUUGGCCUUUACGGCCACCAGAGC
rnacentral:lncRNA from 1 species